AGCCUCAUGGUGCUUACCACAGGCUGUGUUGUUAAACUGACUGUAUAGAAAAACGAGGCAGAGUAAAUCCACCCUGUGUACACCUCAGUCCAGGCCCUGUGCCUGGCCUGUAUUGUGAAUGGGGGGACAUGG
ensembl:snoRNA